GGCCCUGGUCCUGGCGCUGGCCCCGGGGCUGCCCACAGCCCGGGCCGGGCAGACACCGCGCCCUGCCGAGCGGGGGCCCCCAGUGCGGCUUUUCACCGAGGAGGAGCUGGCCCGCUAUGGCGGGGAGGAGGGACUCUCCAACUGACCCGAUGAUCUUUGGGACCACUGGCACAAAAAUCUAAGGAAAGAGAGAGUUCACCACUGAGGUUACAGCAAGAGUGCCAGAACUGCAAGAUGAGGACUGAGAAAAGACCCUUGGUUUUUUUAUGUUGAUGUUAUAGAUUGAAAUUUAACUGAGAGAAACAGAGAGAGGACCUUGAGAUGGAAACAGGGGUAGGAAACAAUUGUUUUGGGAGUGGAGCCUGAGGAUCUCUGUAGGUGGAAGGAAGGAGCCAGAGAGAGGAGGGGAGCGAGGGACGAGAGAGGCAGUUGAGUGCAGUGGGUUCAAGCUGUGCUGCGCUGUUG
rnacentral:sRNA from 1 species